rnacentral:ncRNA from 2 species
UAUAUCUUGUCGGAGUGCCCCGCACAUAUCAUCGUGCAUGGGCUGAGACCGUUAAUUCGGGAUCCGCGGAACCUGAUCAGGCUAAUACCUGCGAAGGGAACAAGAGUAAUUCAUUC